rnacentral:rRNA from 1 species
UGGGGAAUUUUGGACAAUGGGGGCAACCCUGAUCCAGCAAUGCCGCGUGAGUGAAGAAGGCCUUCGGGUUGUAAAGCUCUUUUGUCAGGGAAGAAAAGGGACUGGCUAAUAUCUGGUCCUCAUGACGGUACCUGAAGAAUAAGCACCGGCUAACUACGUGCCAGCAGCCGCGGUAAUACGUAGGGUGCAAGCGUUAAUCGGAAUUACUGGGCGUAAAGCGUGCGCAGGCGGUUUUGUAAGACUGUCGUGAAAUCCCCGGGCUCAACCUGGGAAUGGCGAUGGUGACUGCAAGGCUAGAGUUUGGCAGGGGGGGGUAGAAUUCCACGUGUAGCAGUGAAAUGCGUAGAUAUGUGGAGGAACACCGAUGGCGAAGGCAGCCCCCUGGGUCAAAACUGACGCUCAUGCACGAAAGCGUGGGGAGCAAACAGGAUUAGAUACCCUGGUAGUCCACGCCCUAAACGAUGUCUACCAGUUGUCGGGUCUUAAUUGACUUGGUAACGCAGCUAACGCGUGAAGUAGACCGCCUGGGGAGUACGGUCGCAAGAUUA